UACCCGGGGGUGCAGUGCUUUACCUCUGGUUGGGUUGAGAGUCUGAGAUGAAGCACUGUAACUCCGGAUG
ncrna:Petromyzon marinus (sea lamprey) microRNA pma-mir-143 precursor